rnacentral:rRNA from 1 species
AUUUACAGGCUUAACACAUGCAAGUCGAGGGGCAGCAUGGUCUUAGCUUGCUAAGGCCGAUGGCGACCGGCGCACGGGUGAGUAACGCGUAUCCAACCUGCCUUACACUCUUGGACAGCCUUCUGAAAGGGAGAUUAAUACAAGAUGUUAUCAUGAGUAAGCAUUUUCGCAUGAUUAAAGGUUUACCGGUGUAAGAUGGGGACGCGUUCCAUUAGAUAGUAGGCGGGGUAACGGCCCACCUAGUCUUCGAUGGAUAGGGGUUCUGAGAGGAAGGUCCCCCACAUUGGAACUGAGACACGGUCCAAACUCCUACGGGAGGCAGCAGUGAGGAAUAUUGGUCAAUGGACGAGAGUCUGAACCAGCCAAGUAGCGUGAAGGAUGAAGGUUCUAUGGAUUGUAAACUUCUUUUAUACGGGAAUAAACGAAUCCACGCGUGGAUUUUUGCAUGUACCGUAUGAAUAAGGAUCGGCUAACUCCGUGCCAGCAGCCGCGGUAAUACGGAGGAUCCGAGCGUUAUCCGGAUUUAUUGGGUUUAAAGGGAGCGUAGAUGGGUUGUUAAGUCAGUUGUGAAAGUUUGCGGCUCAACCGUAAAAUUGCAAUUGAUACUGGCAGUCUUGAGUACAGUUGAGGUAGGCGGAAUUCGUGGUGUAGCGGUGAAAUGCUUAGAUAUCACGAAGAACUCCGAUUGCGAAGGCAGCUUACUAACCUGUAACUGACAUUGAUGCUCGAAAGUGUGGGUAUCAAACAGGAUUAGAUACCCUGGUAGUCCACACGGUAAACGAUGAAUACUCGCUGUAGGCGAUAUACAGUCUGCGGCCAAGCGAAAGCAUUAAGUAUUCCACCUGGGGAGUACGCCGGCAACGGUGAAACUCAAAGGAAUUGACGGGGGCCCGCACAAGCGGAGGAACAUGUGGUUUAAUUCGAUGAUACGCGAGGAACCUUACCCGGGCUUAAAUUGCAACCGAAUAUGGCGGAAACGCUAUAGCUAGCAAUAGCGGUUGUGAAGGUGCUGCAUGGUUGUCGUCAGCUCGUGCCGUGAGGUGUCGGCUUAAGUGCCAUAACGAGCGCAACCCUUGCCGAUAGUUACUAACAGGUUAUGCUGAGGACUCUGUCGGGACUGCCAUCGUAAGAUGUGAGGAAGGUGGGGAUGACGUCAAAUCAGCACGGCCCUUACGUCCGGGGCUACACACGUGUUACAAUGGGGGGUACAGAGGGCUGCUACCACGCAAGUGGAUGCCAAUCCCAAAAACCUCUCUCAGUUCGGAUUGAAGUCUGCAACCCGACUUCAUGAAGCUGGAUUCGCUAGUAAUCGCGCAUCAGCCACGGCGCGGUGAAUACGUUCCCGGGCCUUGUACACACCGCCCGUCAAGCCAUGGGAGCCGGGGGUACCUGAAGUGCGUAACCGCAAGGAGCGCCCUAGGGUAAAACUGGUGACUGGGG